rnacentral:tRNA from 1 species
GCCACGGUGGUGUAAUGGUAGCACAGGGGGUUGUGGACCCCUUAGCCCGAGUUCGAUUCUCGGCUGUGGCC